rnacentral:rRNA from 1 species
CUACCCGCUGAACUUAAGCAUAUCAAUAAGCGGAGGAAAAGAAACUAACAAGGAUUCCCCUAGUAACGGCGAGUGAACCGGGAAGAGCUCAAAUUUGAAAUCUGGCAGUCUUCGAUUGUCCGAGUUGUAAUCUAUAGAAGCGUUUUCCGUGCUGAACUGUGUAUAAGUCCCUUGGAACAGGGUAUCAAAGAGGGUGACAAUCCCGUACUUUACACAAUCAUCAGUGCUCUGUGAUACGUUCUCUACGAGUCGAGUUGUUUGGGAAUGCAGCUCAAAAUGGGUGGUAAAUUCCAUCUAAAGCUAAAUAUUGGCGAGAGACCGAUAGCGAACAAGUACCGUGAGGGAAAGAUGAAAAGCACUUUGGAAAGAGAGUUAAACAGUACGUGAAAUUGUUGAAAGGGAAACGAAAUUCAUGAAUCAUGUUUAUUGGACUCAGCCGUUCUUCGGUGUACUUCCUUUAAACGGGUCAACAUCAGUUUUGUCCGAUGGAUAAAGGUAGUAGGAAGGUGGCUCUCUCGGGAGUGUUAUAGCCUAUUGCUGCAUACAUUGGAUGAGACUGAGGACUGCAGCUUGCCUUUAUGGCCGGGGUUCGCCCACGUUCAAGCUUAGGAUGUUGACAUAUUCUCGAAUCACGACCCGUCUUGAA